GGGGGGGGGGGGGGGCGGGCGGGGGGCGGGCGGGGCGAGCGCGGGAGCUCAGCUGGGGGUGGGUGGAUGGGGGGCGAACGGGUGAGUAACACGUGAGUAACCUGCCUCCUUCUUUGGGAUAACGCCCGGAAACGGGUGCUAAUACUGGAUAUUCACUGGUCUUCGCAUGGGGGUUGGUGGAAAGGGGUUUUCUGGUGGGGGAUGGGCUCGCGGCCUAUCGGCUUGGUGGUGGGGUGAUGGCCUACCAAGGCUUUGACGGGUAGCCGGCCUGAGAGGGUGACCGGUCACAUUGGGACUGAGAUACGGCCCAGACUGCUACGGGAGGCAGCAGUGGGGAAUAUUGCACAAUGGGCGCAAGCCUGAUGCAGCGACGCCGCGUGAGGGAUGGAGGCCUUCGGGUUGUGAACCUCUUUCGCUAAUGGUCAAGCCGCAACAAUGGUUGUGGUGAGGGUAGUGGGUAAAGAAGCGCCGGCUAACUACGUG
rnacentral:rRNA from 1 species